GUGGAGAGUGCGAUUGCAGAAGGGGGUGCUUCUCGUUUCAGCGAGUUCCUGGGGAAAACCCCAGGGCAAAACGCUCAGAAAUGGAUUCCUGCACGAAGCACUAGACGAGAUGACAACUCCGCAGCAAACAACUCCGCAAACGAAAAAGAACGACAUGAUGCAAUCUUCAGGAAAGUAAGAGGCAUACUAAAUAAGCUUACUCCUGAAAAGUUUGACAAGCUAUGCCUUGAGCUCCUCAAUGUGGGUGUAGAGUCUAAACUCAUCCUUAAAGGGGUCAUACUGCUGAUUGUGGACAAAGCCCUAGAAGAGCCAAAGUAUAGCUCACUGUAUGCUCAGCUAUGUCUGCGAUUGGCAGAAGAUGCACCAAACUUUGAUGGCCCAGCAGCAGAGGGUCAACCAGGACAGAAGCAAAGCACCACAUUCAGACGCCUCCUAAUUUCCAAAUUACAAGAUGAAUUUGAAAACCGAACUAGAAAUGUUGAUGGUAAGACUUAUAGCUGAUAAUAAGUACUACUGUAUAUUUUCAGCUUAAUUCUGAAUGUUGGCUUACUUCAUUGGUAUCUUUUUCAGUCUAUGAUAAGCGUGAAAAUCCCCUCCUCCCCGAGGAGGAGGAACAGAGAGCCAUUGCUAAGAUCAAGAUGUUGGGAAACAUCAAAUUCAUUGGAGAGCUUGGCAAGCU
rnacentral:lncRNA from 1 species